rnacentral:rRNA from 1 species
AGUGAACGCUGGCGGUAGGCCUAACACAUGCAAGUCGAACGGCAGCACAGUAAUUGCUUGCUCUUACGGUUGGCGAGUGUCGGACGGGUGAUGUAUACAUCGUAAUCUACUUUUUCGUGUUUGUUAACGUAGGUAAACUUACUCUAAUACCGCAUACUACCUACGGUUUUAAGCAUUUGUUCUUCGGACCUUUCGCGUUUUUAUUAGCCGAUGUCGGAGUAGCUAGUUGGCGUGGUAAAGGCCCACCAAGGCGACGAUCCGUAGCUGGUCUGAGAGGAUGAGCAGACACACUGGAACGGAGACACGGAAAAGAGGACUACGGGAGGAAGCAGAGGGGAAUAUUGGACAAUGGGCGCAAGAAUGAUACAGCAAUACCGCGUGGGAGAAGAAGGCCUUAGGGUUGUAAAGAACUUUUGUUGGGAAAGAAAAGCAGCAGGAUAAUAACAAGAUGUAAUGACGGUAACAAAAGAAUAAGCAACGGCUAACUACGUG